CGACGAUGAAGCCUUUCGGGGUGGAUUAGUGGCGAACGGGUGAGUAACACGUGGGCAAUCUGCCCUUCACUCUGGGACAAGCCCUGGAAACGGGGUCUAAUACCGGAUAACACUCCUCAGAGCAUUCUGGGGGGUUAAAAGCUCCGGCGGUGAAGGAUGAGCCCGCGGCCUAUCAGCUUGUUGGUGGGGUAAUGGCCUACCAAGGCGACGACGGGUAGCCGGCCUGAGAGGGCGACCGGCCACACUGGGACUGAGACACGGCCCAGACUCCUACGGGAGGCAGCAGUGGGGAAUAUUGCACAAUGGGCGAAAGCCUGAUGCAGCGACGCCGCGUGAGGGAUGACGGCCUUCGGGUUGUAAACCUCUUUCAGCAGGGAAGAAGCGAAAGUGACGGUACCUGCAGAAGAAGCGCCGGCUAACUACGUGCCAGCAGCCGCGGUAAUACGUAGGGCGCAAGCGUUGUCCGGAAUUAUUGGGCGUAAAGAGCUCGUAGGCGGCUUGUCACGUCGGAUGUGAAAGCCCGGGGCUUAACCCCGGGUCUGCAUUCGAUACGGGCUAGCUAGAGUGUGGUAGGGGAGAUCGGAAUUCCUGGUGUAGCGGUGAAAUGCGCAGAUAUCAGGAGGAACACCGGUGGCGAAGGCGGAUCUCUGGGCCAUUACUGACGCUGAGGAGCGAAAGCGUGGGGAGCGAACAGGAUUAGAUACCCUGGUAGUCCACGCCGUAAACGUUGGGAACUAGGUGUUGGCGACAUUCCACGUCGUCGGUGCCGCAGCUAACGCAU
rnacentral:rRNA from 1 species